ensembl:lncRNA
CCCAAGGCUCAUGGAGAAUGCGCCAGUGAAGUCACAUCUCCUGUCCAAGGAAAGCCUGUAUCCAAUGACAAGGACCCAGCCUACCUUGAACUAGCUUACAGCUCUACCACUUAGCUGCUGGGAAAGCACCAGAAACUGCUCCUCCUUUUUCAAUACAGCUUGGACAACACCAGGAAGAUGCUACUGUUCUGACUCUGGUCCUGUGCCCCAUGCACAAUGGCUGAGGAUGGAAUGAGAUGGCUGGAGUAAGAAAAGGAGGAGAGUCAGCGUGCCCAGCAGAUAAGCCUCAGGUGGCCCUAUGGAAGCAGGGACUCUCCCAGGAGCUCGUGGACCGGAUGUACUGCCCAGAUGCAGGAAAUGAUUCUUCCCGUCAUCGACCUAUGCCUUCCUGGACUGUCCCUUUUAGAGCUUCAUGUUGACGGACUCCUCAGUUUCCUUAUGUGUUGUUUAUUGGCUUUUAUGGGAUUAUUUAAUCUAAACCUUUGGUUGCAGGAGACAGACAUGCUUGAGCUAGCCUGUGAGACAAGAUAUGGUGGCAGGAAGUAUAGCAUAUCACGUGAGACUAACUGGGAAUGUUAAGGUUAUGAGAAAUGAGGCAUUAUCAUCUGACAGCCGAAAGCCACUGUAUUCUCAUUUCUGCAUUUAUCUGUCUGCUCGAUUCUUCCUUUCUGCAAAAUGGCUUUCUCUGCUUCUUUGUAUACCUGCGAAAAGUGGCCCCUCUAAAGCUGAUAGAUUUCUAAGUCCUAGGUUUGAGAGCAGUAACACAUGGCCUGGCUUCUCUGAUUUUUUACUUCCUUAUUUCUGGCAGUGGGUUAGUUUGAAGCCGCUGUCCCCAGAGUCCAAUCAGCUAUGGGCUAGGGACAAAGUUGGACUUCCCAGGUGGCUCAAUGAUAAAGAACCUGCCUGUCAAUGCAGGAGACAUGGGUUCUAUUCCUGGGUCUGGAAGAUCCCCUGGAGAAGGAAAUGGCAGCCCACUCCAGUAUUCUUGCCUGGGACAUCCCACAAACAGAGGGGCCUGGUGGGCUACAGUCUAUGGGGUCUCAGAGAGUUGGACACAACUUAGCAACUAAACAACAAUAACAAGGGCAAAGUCAGGACAUUAUAGGUGACUGACCCUGUGAGCCGUGAUGGUGGUGAUGGGGGUAGGUCCCAGAAGAGGGAAUCAUGGGUUAAGCAGCGUCUGCAUAACUUGACCUUGACUGAUGUGAACUUGUGUGCUUCAUUCAACGUGUGAUCAUUAUGAGUA